UCGCUCAGUUUCCAGGCUGGAGUGUAAUGGCGUGAUCUUGGCUCACUGCAACCUCUGCCUCCCAGCUUCAAGUGAUUCCCCUGCUUUAGCCUCCCAAGCAGCUGGGACUACAGGCAUGCACCAGCAUGGCCGGCUAAUUUUUUUUUAUAUUUUAGUACAGAUGGGGUUUAACCAUGUUGGCCAGGAUGAUCUUGAUCUCCUGACCUCGUGAUCUGCCCACCUCAGCCUCCCAAAGUGCUAGGAUUACAGGCGUGAGCCACCUUGCCCGGCCUUCUAUUCCUUUUUCUAAUGCAUUUGCCCCAGCUAUCUGUAUAGCCUGCAAUCUGGUAGAUGGACCACAGGGAAACCACUGCAGCAAACUAAAAGUGUCUAUCUCAGAUCCUUCCACCACCAUCAUUUCCAAAAUCACCGUCACUAUCUCCACCACCAUGACCUUUACCACCAUCACCACUAUCAUCCUCAUCCUUCCCAUCACCAUCUCCACUGCUAUCUCUCAACACCAUCAUCAUCACCACCACCACCAUCAUCACCAUGAGCACCACCUCUGUCAUCAUCAAAAAAGCACACAGGUGAUGCAGUUCAGGCUGGCCUGUUGGAGGAUAACAGAUCAUGUGGAGCAGAGACGAGCUGGCCCACCUCAGGCCCUACCAGAGCAAUCAGCUUGCCAAACACGACAUACAUCAGCGAGGCCAUCCUAGACCAUCCAGCCCUAGCUGAGCCAGCCCAGACCAGAGACUCAUGAGAGACAGUAAAAUGUUCAUCAUUUUAAGCCA